AGAGCGUUAACAAGUGAAGAUGACCUAGAGGAAGAAAGAAGACUUUGUUAUGUUGGAAUAACAAGGGCAAAGGAGAAAUUGUAUUUAACAUAUACUAA
rnacentral:sRNA from 1 species